rnacentral:ncRNA from 1 species
AGUUUUAGUGCUGAUCCGUCUAUCAUUUCCUGUAUUGAUUGAACUGAUGCUUUACCAAAUGAUUUCUCUCCAUAGAUUAUUGCUCUUUCAUGAUCUUGAAGAGCCCCAGCUACAAUUUCAGAAGCAGAUGCAGAUCCUCCAUUUAUGAGAACAUACAAUGGCAAGCCCUCUAGGAUAUCCUCACUAUUUGCAAAGUACUCUAGGUCCGAGUUAUUUGUUCGUCCUUUGGUAUAUACAAUUUUUCCCGAUUUCAAAAAUAAGUCUGAGAUACCAACUGCUGCUCCGAGAACUCCGCCUGGAUUAUUUC